rnacentral:rRNA from 1 species
CCUACGUGAGGCUGCAGUGAGGAAUAUUGGUCAAUGGACGAGAGUCUGAACCAGCCAAGUAGCGUGAAGGGUGACUGCCCUAUGGGUUGUAAACUUCUUUUAUAUGGGAAUAAAAUGUUCCACGUUUGGGAUUUUGUAUGUACCAUAUGAAUAAGGAUCGGCUAACUCCGUGCCAGCAGCCGGGGUAAUACGGAGGAGCCGAGCGUUAUCCGGAUUUAUUGGGUUUAAGGGGAGCGUAGGUGGGUUGUUAAGUCAGUUGUGAAUGUUUGUGGCUCAACCGUAAAAUUGCGGUUGAAACUGGCAGGCUUGAGUACAGUAGAGGUAGGCGGAAUUCGUGGUGUAGCGGUGAAAUGCUUAGAUAUCACGAAGAACUCCGAUUGCGAAGGCAGUUCACUGGACUGCAACUGACAUUGAUGCUCGAAAGUGUGGGUAUCAAACAGGAUUAGAUACCCCUGUAGUC